AUGGCUGAAUCCGCCGGCGGCGGUGAGCCCCGGCUCCCCGAGGAGCUCGUCCUCUGGGAGAUCCUGACGCGCCUUCCGGCCAAGUCCCUCCUACGGUGCCGCGCCGUCUGCACAUCCUGGCGCCGCAGCCUCACCUCGGACACGGGCCUCCUCCUCGCACACCACCGCCGCCAGCCGGCGCUCCAGCUCGUCACCACCGGGGACGCCCUCGAGGGCAGGAUCGACGCGCUGGACCCCCGCGCCGGCGAGCGGCGCCCCGUCGCCCGCACGGACCGGGCCGCCUCCCCCACGGACCUCGAUCUGCUCGCCGCCUGCGACGGCCUCCUCGUCGUCUGCGCCUACGGCGCCCUCCACGUCUGCAACCCGGCCACCCGCCAGCGCGCCCCGCUCCCGCUGCUCCACGCCUACCACAUCUCCGGCCUCUACCCUCACGCCGCGUCCUGGUCGUACUCUUACCGGGUGCUGUGCUGGAGGAAGGAACCCCACGACACCGCCGACGGCCGCGCCGUCUACUACGUGCACACCGUGGGAUCCACCGAGGUCAGGUGCGUCGGCGAGCCCCCCGAGCCGUGGGCCACCGGGGACAUCGCCGAGGUGAUGCCAAUGCUGGAGCUCUUCCACCCGCACGUCCUCGUGCAGGGCAGGUUUCACUGGCGCCUCGUCGAGUUGCCUGGCCGAAAAUACAACAACAUGCUGGUUUUCGACACCGUCGCUGAGUCUUUCCGGCAUGUCGAGACCCCGGUCGAGGGUGAUCUCUGGGUGCUAGAGGACUAUCAGAACAACGUCUGGUCGCUCAAGCACCGCAUCAAGGUGCAGAGGCCGGUCCUUUUCCUGGUGCAGGACGCCCAAGGAGAUGUGUUCAUUAAUUCUAAGAAAAAGGGGACCCGCAGCGCCUGCGGCACUUGUCGAUCGGGCACCGAUGGCAGUGUGUUGACACGCUAUGAAUGGAGCGGUCGCCUCAAUCUUAAGCGGCAUAGGUUCAAAGAAAGCCUUGUCCGGCAUGCCUUCUUCCCGACCGAAGGUAAUGGUAGUGUCGAUGAAACACCAUUGUUCAAUGGGUUGUCAGCUGUGGUGUUGCUUCCUGAUGAUAAUUCUGAGCCAGAUUGA
rnacentral:rRNA from 1 species